AGUUCAAGACCAGCCUAAGGCUACCUAGUGAGUUCCAGAAAGAAUAAUUUAAAAACAUCUUCCUGAGGGUCUGAGUGGAAGAAAGGGAACAACCAGUGAAAGUCAAAUCAAAUGGCUUGAUCCUUGAUGCAACCCAACACCACUGUGAACGGGAUGUUGAAGCAGCUGUUACAGUAAACUAAGAGGGCAUUUGCAACCACUGAGCAGAAGAAACACAAAGCAAAUUGUACAGACAAAUUUCAAGUAAUGUAAUAAUGUCUUCAACAAAACAAUCUUUCUGGUAAAGAAUCAUGUAU